UGCUGUCGCUGCCGCUUUGACUGACCAUAGGCUCCAGAGCUUGCUAUCCUUUCUUAUCGGUACCGCUUUUCGCGCGUUUUCUGGAGUUUCUCCCAUCUACAUGGUGUUGUCGCUACCGCUUUGUUCGUUGGUUCCAGAAUCUGCUGUUCUUUCUCAUCGGUGUGCUCUUUGGUCAGCGUUUCCGUGUUGAGGAUGAUGCCGCACGUCAGGUGGUGACGCCUGAGGAGAUUGGACCCCCUCCGAUCGAGUCCCUCAAUCAACGCUCGUCUUCCUCGCCCACCUCGCGGCUGCGCCCACGACCAUCAUCUCGGCCACCUCCCGGAGCCCCCGUCCCCACGGCCGCGCUGGCCCCCGUCUUACCUCACGCCGUCCCUCCAUCUCCCAUGUGCGCAACCAAACUGGUGCCGCACGUCCUUCCGGCCCGGCUGCUCCACCCUCCUCCAGCCAGCUACUCCAACCACGGCACGGCGGCCGGAUCCAAUCUAUAUGGCGUGAUGGCAACCAAAUCCAUGACGAAAAAGUGGCCCAGUGGUUCCCGCCAUCUCAAGCAGCCAUCGGCCACCUGCAGCAGCCCCAGGGUUGACGGCGUCUCCCAGGCUGCCGCACAGUCCUGCUCCGGCAGCCUCGACCUGCAGCUCUGGCACAUGGUACAGGACGCGUCUCUGCUAUUCCCGUGCAGAUCCACUGAGUUGAUGAUGUUGAAUCAGCUGUGGCUUCCGGACCGAUCAUGGAGUUAUGGAGGACGUACCUCCAUUGUGGAGAUGGUUUCAGUUACGCUACAAGGGAUUUCAUUUCUCACUGAAAAUUUAUGUCAGUCCUUCCUGAUUUGCACGUGUUAAUACAGCUGCUGAACAACGGUUCUCUCUCAUCAUCCAUUGUGCAGGUUUAAGGACAUACAUAGGACAUGGCAGCUCAAAUGAGUAGCUAACUGAUCGCACUUUUUUCUCAAUGCUUUUUUAUUUCAGUUAGUAACAUACUGUCAGUGAUCUUUUUUUUAGAACGAAGGCUCAAGAAAAGCCCGGCUUUGAAUUAACAAAGCCAUCAACCGGCCAGGAUUACAACUCCAAAUAUACCACUCACCAACUAAAGCAAAGAAAACAUACAACAAAGAUACAGGGGCACCAAGGAACAGCUCACAAGGCACAUACUACAAGCUAGUUAGAAAGAUUGGCGUAAAGCAUAUAGCUUGGAGAUGCCACUAUCCUCUUGCACGCCGAAAACCUAGGCGAAAGCGAAAUCCUGGUCAGGAGAGUGCACCGACGAUGAUGCAAGGCACGCCGUUGCCAAAACCUGGGCUUGAAGAAAGACACAUCCAUCCAGAUCCAUCGUCAAAGAAGGCCCCUGCCUCCUCGCCUGGCUCGAAGGCGCCGCACCGUUGAGCGAUGGACAUGCUCACCCUAGAGCCUAGAUGGAUGGCCUCGAAGAAACCACUUGGGCGGAACCAGGCGUUCCCGACAUGCCGACGAUGACUCACCUAGAGCAGAGCAACACCAUAUGCCAAAGUUCUGACUUGGAAGAGGGCGAGCGGUCAGAAUGCACAAUUGGGCAACAGCGAGGGCCAAGACCAAAUUGGGAGCUUCGGCUCGCUCGACGAGCUGAAGUGCAGCCACCGUAGGAGGGGAACCCUAUCCCCUCCCGUCCUGGAAGAUCCAAGGGCACCGGAGGAAUAAACUACAGCCCGGCGAAGAGCACCAUAAGAACUUGACCCAGCACCAAGGAAGACACCGCCACCGCUGGACGCACGCUGCCGCCGCCGACACACUCCACCCAGACCACAACGAAGCCCACAACCCAUCUUUGUUCCCAAAACAGCGCCUUCAAGAAGGUUACGGCGCCAAGGGCGUCGCCGCUGCCCAACAAAAUUGAGGAUUUCUCCCGGGAGACAAAGGGGAGGGGGAUGGGGAGCAAGACCUGAACGGCGCCUCCGGGAAGGUGCGCGGCGCCCGCGGGCGCCGCCGCCGGCAAGGCUGGCUGGGGUUUCCCCCGGUCCUACAUCCUGACACCCACUCCCACCCGAGCAGACCGAGGCCCCGCGACGAGGCUGGCCGGAUCUGAGGAGGGGAGGAGCUUGCUGGAGAAGAAGGGCAGUGGGGGCGGCCAGAUCUGAUGCAGCCGGAGCAAACGCAGCCGCCGCGCGCUGGCCCGCAUUAUUCGGGGAUCUUGCCGUCCACACGGCCGAGAACCGCCGACCUGCGCCCGCGCCACCGGAUGCCGAAGCCGGCGACGCCUCACCAGCCGGGGCCGCCGCCCCAGAUCCAGAGGCCCCCCACGGACGAGGCGAGGCGGCGAGGGCCCCGCCGCCACCUUCAUCGAUGGCGCGCCAGGCUAGCUCGGCGUCAGCAGUCUCCGGCGGCGGCGAGGGGAGGGCGAGCAGGGGAGGGAGGCGGCGGGGGUAGGGUUUCGCCCCUCGGGUCGCCCGAGCGGGGCGACACGAGGGAGGGGGAGUUGCUUUUGGCUUACCCCUUUCCGUCAGUGAUCUUUUGGUGUUGAUAUUUCAACCUCGCCCUUACCCUUGAUUCUCUCUUCCACUGUGUGAUCUUCGGUGAGUCCUACUAGGAUGGAAGACGCUGCAAUAAUGUGUGAGCAAUGGAUGUUGGUUGCCUUUGUGAGAAACUACAGAAGCUCUCAGGUAACAAAUACACGCAAGAUGAUUAUUUUAAGUACCGAUGCACCUUGCAAUACAUGUAUCUGUUUUGCAUUCAUCCACUACGGAUUAUAACUAUUUACUUGUUGUUCCCGUUUAUAUAUAGGAGUGUGUUUUCCGAGUCGGGUUUUCUGACAACUAUAGCAUGUGUGACAUGAUAGGAUAUAUUUUCUCUGCAUUUGUAAAGGACCAAAAUGAAGAUUGAUUAUAGGUUUUUAGAUUAUUUAUAUUUCUCUUCAAUACUACAUGUACUGUCUCUGCUGACUGGCAUUUUUUCUUUUGCCAUCAAUAGUAGCACUGAAAAUCAAUGAAAUUCAUCUGUUCGCAUGUUCAGUUAGCUUGGCUUGAUUCCUAUUUGCAGAAUCUAACUUUCCCUUUCCGUCGAGGGUUUCCUCAGCUCUAUAAUUUUCUUCUAUUUUCUCAUCCAAAUUGUGUUUAAAUGAUAGGGAUCAUUGCGAAUUAUGACCAGCAAGCUUCUUUGUUAUGGCUCAUUUCAUUGACCGGUGUAUGGUUGGUUGUUACCAUCUUAAACCCAUAAUUUGAGAUCUUGAAGAAAAGGAGGGCAACAAAGCUUUAGUUUUGGGCUGUUGAUAUCAUAUAGUGAGCAUGCUAAGCAAAACUAAGUCUUAUUGCAUGCUGUCGUAAUGUGUAGUUGGAUGUUAAGCUAAUAACUUGGUAGAUGAAAUCUAGUCAAUCUUGUUGUAUAAAUUAUAGCAUGGUGCAGACUGAUAGCUGAAAUUUAGUCUAUCUUGCAUUAUAAAUUCCGGCAAAUGCAGUUGAUCUUGCUGUGUAAUUUCUGGCAUAGUGCAGACCAGACGGCAGGAGAAAAUGACUUGCCAUACUGGUACCAUACAACACUAUGACGAUGGUCGAUGGAUACCAUUGUGUAAACAAAUCUCAACAGUGUUAUCUUGCAUUUGUACGAGCAUCUGUGCAUUAGUUAAACAUCCUUUUUUUAUUCUUACUUGCCUUGCUUGAUAUGAGCACCAGCAGUCGUCCCCAUGCCAAACCAUGUGCUGCUACAAGCCGUGAGCCUUUUAUGAGCGCCAACACAACAACAUCAUCUAAGCAUGGAUCAAAAUGGAUACUCCAAGUCUACAAGGACAAAUGCAAUCCCGCAUGUACAUCUUCGAUGCGAAUCUUUAUGCUAUGUAAAUCUGCUAAUUAAAUUUUUAUUUAAUCUAAGUAAAUGGAGUUCUUACAGAUCGUAUCAUGUUUUGGUUUGUAGGGUUAAUCAUGCGGUACUACAUUGUAGCUUGUAAAAGCACGAGCUUUAUUUUUGCAUGAUUCAUGUUUUUAUAGUUCCAUACAUGGUUAUCUAAUAAGCUAGCUAAAGUUAGGUGAUGGUCUCACACUAGAUGGUGUUAUCCAAUUUAUACAUCUUCACAAAUGCUGCUUAGCUAAAAUUUCCUUAUUGUUCAAGAAUAACAGGUAUUCAAGCAAUAUGACAACGAAUCCAUUUGUAUCAUAUGUGGGAGAGAGCCUGGUUAUUGAUACAAUGCAACUUUACUUUGAACAAAAUGUUCCUUGAAAGUUGGUGACACUUCCUGGAUAUCGGUACAAUGCAACUCUGUUGUAUGGAAACUGCAUAUUAAUUAGGUCUUUUUACUAUACUGCAUAUAUACAGUUAGUGACACUUCCUUGAAAGUGAAGGAAAUAUUCUUUAUAUUGUAGCUCAUGUUGAUUUUUGUAUGUAACAGUACUUGCACUGCAUGGCCUUUCUCUGACUUACGUUUAUUUUUCGAGGUCA